GGCAUGGUGGCUCAGUGGUUAGAGCGCCCGCCUCAUGAACGGGAGGUUGUGGGUUCGAACCCCGGCCGAGUCA
rnacentral:tRNA from 1 species